UGGAUUUGCAAAAAGUAGAAU
rnacentral:piRNA from 1 species